AAGGAGUAUUCUGAAAAUCCUAAAAAGAGUAAGAA
ncrna:unclassified sequences DTF805b RNA